rnacentral:tRNA from 1 species
GGUUUCGUGGUGUAGUUGGUUAUCACGUCAGUCUAACACACCAGAAGGUCUCCAGUUUGAGUCCGGGCGAAGCCA